rnacentral:rRNA from 1 species
AACGCUAGCUACAGGCUUAACACAUGCAAGUCGAGGGGCAGCAUUGGAGUAGCAAUACUUCAGAUGGCGACCGGCGCACGGGUGAGUAACACGUAUCCAACCUGCCGCUUACUCGGGGAUAGCCUUUCGAAAGAAAGAUUAAUACCCGAUGGUAUAAAGAGUUCGCAUGUUCUCUUUAUUAAAGAAUUUCGGUAAGCGAUGGGGAUGCGUUCCAUUAGAUAGUAGGCGGGGUAACGGCCCACCUAGUCGACGAUGGAUAGGGGUUCUGAGAGGAAGGUCCCCCACAUUGGAACUGAGACACGGUCCAAACUCCUACGGGAGGCAGCAGUGAGGAAUAUUGGUCAAUGGGCGCGAGCCUGAACCAGCCAAGUAGCGUGAAGGAUGAAGGUCCUACGGAUUGUAAACUUCUUUUAUAAGGGAAUAAAGUCACCCACGUGUGGGUGUUUGUAUGUACCUUAUGAAUAAGCAUCGGCUAACUCCGUGCCAGCAGCCGCGGUAAUACGGAGGAUGCGAGCGUUAUCCGGAUUUAUUGGGUUUAAAGGGAGCGUAGACGGGUCGUUAAGUCAGCUGUGAAAGUUUACGGCUCAACCGUGAAAUUGCAGUUGAUACUGUAUGUCUUGAGUGUACAAGAGGUGGGCGGAAUUCGUGGUGUAGCGGUGAAAUGCUUAGAUAUCACGAAGAACUCCGAUUG